CCUACGGGCGGCAGCAGUGAGGAAUAUUGGUCAAUGGGCGAGAGCCUGAACCAGCCAAGUCGCGUGAGGGAGUACUGCCCUAUGGGUUGUAAACCUCUUUUGUCGGGGAGCAAAAGCCGGACGUGUCCGGCUGUGAGAGUACCCGCAGAAAAAGCAUCGGCUAACUCCGUGCCAGCAGCCGCGGUAAUACGGGGGAUGCGAGCGUUAUCCGGAUUUAUUGGGGUUAAAGGGUGCGCAGGCGGAUUUUUAUGUCAGCGGUCAAAUCGUGGGGCUCAACCCCAUCCAGCCGUUGAAACUGGGGAUCUAGAGUGUGCGAGAGGUAUGCGGAAUGCGUGGUGUAGCGGUGAAAUGCAUAGAUAUCACGCAGAACCCCGAUUGCGAAGGCAGCAUACCGGUGCACAACUGACGCUCAGGCACGAAAGCGUGGGUAUCGAACAGGAUUAGAUACCCUUGUAGUC
rnacentral:rRNA from 1 species